rnacentral:tRNA from 1 species
GCCGGGAUGGCGGAAUUGGUAGACGCAGGGGACUCAAAAUCCCCCGGUGGCGACACCGUGAGAGUUCGAGUCUCUCUCCCGGCACCA